UACGUAGGGUGCAGGCGUUAAUCGGAAUUACUGGGCGUAAAGCGUGCGCAGGCGGCUUCUCAAGUCAGAUGUGAAAUCCCCGGGCUUAACCUGGGAACUGCGUUUGAAACUGGGGAGCUAGAGUGUGGCAGAGGGGGGUGGAAUUCCACGUGUAGCAGUGAAAUGCGUAGAUAUAGGAAGGAACACCAGUGGCGAAGGCGACCACCUGGACUGAUACUGACACUGAGGUGCGAAAGCGUGGGGAGCAAACAGG
rnacentral:rRNA from 1 species